rnacentral:tRNA from 1 species
AUAUCAAGCUCAAUUGGUAGGGUGCUUGCCUAAGAUGCCUGAAGCCCUGGGUUCCAUCCCCAGACUGACAUA